rnacentral:tRNA from 1 species
GCCAGCGUGGCGUAGUGGUUUGAGUGCUGGACUAUGACUCUGGAGACCAGGGUUCGAAUCCUGCCUCAGCCA